ACCGCCACGGAUGGCGGUGGUUCUAAAUAAUAUCAUAUUUUGCUGUCAGCAAAACAUGAUAUCAAAUCUAUACAAGGACAUACAGAUUUGAUAUGGC
rnacentral:sRNA from 1 species